CGAGUGGCGGACGGGUGAGUAAUGUCUGGGAAACUGCCCGAUGGAGGGGGAUAACUACUGAAACGGUAGCUAAUACCGCAUAACGUCGCAAGACCAAAGAGGGGGACCUUAGGGCCUCUUGCCAUCGGAUGUGCCCAGAUGGGAUUAGCUAGUAGGUGGGGUAACGGCUCACCUAGGCGACGAUCCCUAGCUGGUCUGAGAGGAUGACCAGCCACACUGGAACUGAGACACGGUCCAG
rnacentral:rRNA from 1 species